rnacentral:rRNA from 1 species
CCUACGGUGGACAGCAGUCGAGAAUCAUUCACAAUGGGGGAAACCCUGAUGGUGCGACGCCGCGUGGGGGAAUGAAGGUCUUCGGAUUGUAAACCCCUGUCAUGUGGGAGCAAAUUAAAAAGAUAGUACCACAAGAGGAAGAGACGGCUAACUCUGUGCCAGCAGCCGCGGUAAUACAGAGGUCUCAAGCGUUGUUCGGCAUCACUGGGCGUAAAGCGUGCGUAGGCUGUUUCGUAAGUCGUGUGUGAAAGGCGCGGGCUCAACCCGCGGACGGCACAUGAUACUGCGAGACUAGAGUAAUGGAGGGGGAACCGGAAUUCGCGGUGUAGCAGUGAAAUGCGUAGAUAUCGAGAGGAACACUCGUGGCGAAGGCGGGUUCCUGGACAUUAACUGACGCUGAGGCACGAAGGCCAGGGGAGCGAAAGGGAUUAGAUACCCCAGUAGUC